AAAACUUCUCACUUACUGCGUAUGCCAAGUAAAUCCGAUUCUGCUAACCCAUAUGGCGUUGGUGAUCAUCAGGAUCUUGAAGGAAUUCUUUCUACUCACCAAGUAGAAUUUUUAAAAACGAAAUCUUUCUUGCUCGCGUCUGCCACGACACCGUGCACUCUUUGUAGCAGCUGUAACCAGAUGAAAGGGCUUGACGGCGCUGCUCAUUGGAAUCGGAGGGAAGGAUAUGUAAAUACUCUUUAGUCUUAGCUUCUCGUCCAACUGACCAAAUAAUAGCAUCUCCCCGUCUGUGCGCGCGCUCGAGAGAGAUAAAUUUGGCUUCAAGGGAGAAAGGAGCUAAAAUGGUCUUUCUAAGGAGCUGGGCAUUGAUUUAUCUCUGGAGAAGAAAAUGUUGGAUGGUCGUUUUGAUCCAUUGAGCUCUACGUGGACUUGACCCGAGAUCCGAGACCGGGCGGUGUGCCUCGCUCAGUCGCACCAAGGCACUGAUAUCUCCCAUCUCCGAAGCUCUCGAAUUUGACUCUCUUUAUAACAACAACAACAACAACAACAACAACAACAAAGAAGAACAAGAGAAGAUAAAUUGGUGAGUUGAAA